rnacentral:rRNA from 1 species
AUUGAACGCUAGCGGGAUGCUUUACACAUGCAAGUCGAACGGCAGCGCGGACUUCGGUCUGGCGGCGAGUGGCGAACGGGUGAGUAAUGUAUCGGAACGUGCCCAGUAGCGGGGGAUAACUACGCGAAAGCGUAGCUAAUACCGCAUACGCCCUACGGGGGAAAGCAGGGGAUCGUAAGACCUUGCACUAUUGGAGCGGCCGAUAUCGGAUUAGCUAGUUGGUGAGGUAACGGCUCACCAAGGCGACGAUCCGUAGCUGGUUUGAGAGGACGACCAGCCACACUGGGACUGAGACACGGCCCAGACCCCUACGGGAGGCAGCAGUGGGGAAUUUUGGACAAUGGGGGCAACCCUGAUCCAGCCAUCCCGCGUGUGCGAUGAAGGCCUUCGGGUUGUAAAGCACUUUUGGCAGGAAAGAAACGUCGCGGGCUAAUACCCCGUGGAACUGACGGUACCUGCAGAAUAAGCACCGGCUAACUACGUG